rnacentral:lncRNA from 1 species
AGACUCCACCUGUGGGGACAGAGCAUAGCUGAACAAAAGGCAGCAGAAACUUCUGCAGACUUAAACGUCCCUGCCCGACAGCUCUCAAGAGAGCAGUGGUUCUCACAGCAUGGUGUUUGAGCUCUGAGAACUGCCUCCCAAGUUCAAACAAUUCUCCUGCUUCACCCUCCCGAGUAGCUGGAAUAACAGGCACUGGCCACCAUGCUCGGCUAAUUUUUUGUAUUUUUAGUAGAGACGAGGU